GGGUUAGGGUGAGCCGUGUCCCUUUCCGUCUUACCUCUCCAUUUGUAUUCCCCCGGGAGCUCCACACUGGAACAGAUGACCUUCUUCAAGAGAGGAAGACGGGCUGUCUGUCAAACGAUAUGGCUUAGCUGGGCUUCCCUGCUAGGGCCUCCAAAGAAGCUCUCAAAACUACGUUAAUAUUUUUUACCUUGAUCAGUCUAACAGAUGAAAGAUGGACAGCACUUCAUUUUCUUUUCUUGAGACAGGGUUUCUCUGUGUAGCCCUGA
rnacentral:sRNA from 1 species